GGGUCGUUAGCUCAAUGGUAGAGCCGUGGGCUUUUAACCCACCGACCAGGGUUCGAUUCCCUGGCGACCCACCA
rnacentral:tRNA from 1 species